rnacentral:rRNA from 1 species
AGCAGCCGCGGUAAUUCCAGCUCCAAUAGCGUAUAUUAAAGUUGUUGCAGUUAAAAAGCUCGUAGUUGAAUUUCGGGGUUAGUAGGUUGGUCAUGCCUCUGGUAUGUACUGGUCUCACUGAUUCCUCCUUCCUGAUGAGCCGUAAUGCCAUUAAUUUGGUGUUGCGGGGAAUUUGGACUGUUACUUUGAAAAAUUAGAGUGUUUAAAGCAAGCUAACGCUUGAAUACAUUAGCAUGGAAUAAUGAAAUAGGACGUUCGAUCCUAUUUUGUUGGUUUCUAGGAUUGACGUAAUGAUUAAUAGGGAUAGUUGGGGGCAUUAGUAUUCAAUUGUCAGAGGUGAAAUUCUUGGAUUUAUUGAAGACUAACUACUGCGAAAGCAUUUGCCAAGGAUGUUUUCAUUAAUCAAGAACGAAAGUUAGGGGUCGAAGACGAUCAGAUACCGUCGUAGUCUUAACCAUAAACUAUGCCGACUAGGGAUCGGAUGAUGUUAAUUUUUUAAUGACUCAUUCGGCGCCUUACG